GACGAACGCUGGCGGCGUGCUUAACACAUGCAAGUCGAACGGAAAGGCCCCCAUCUUGGUGGGGGUGCUCGAGUGGCGAACGGGUGAGUAACACGUGGGUGAUCUGCCCUGUACUUCGGGAUAAGCUUGGGAAACUGGGUCUAAUACCGGAUAGGACCAUGGUUUAGUGUCUCAUGGUGGAAAGAUUAUUGUUUUGGUGCAGGAUGAGCUCGCGGCCUAUCAGCUUGUUGGUGGGGUAAUGGCCUACCAAGGCGUCGACGGGUAGCCGGCCUGAGAGGGUGGACGGCCACAUUGGGACUGAGAUACGGCCCAGACUCCUACGGGAGGCAGCAGUGGGGAAUAUUGCACAAUGGGCGCAAGCCUGAUGCAGCGACGCCGCGUGGGGGAUGACGGCCUUCGGGUUGUAAACUCCUUUCGUUAGGGACGAAGCCGCACUUUUUUUGGGUGUGGUGACGGUACCUUUGUUAAGAAGCACCGGCUAACUACGU
rnacentral:rRNA from 1 species